UUCUGCGUAGUUUAGUGGCUAUGACGGGUCCUUGUCAUCUGACUUGGUUCGGACCAGACCCGGGUUCAAUUCCCGGCGCGGAAG
rnacentral:tRNA from 2 species